AUUGAACGCUGGCGGCAGGCCUAACACAUGCAAGUCGAGCGAAUGAAGGGGGCUUGCUCCCUGAUUUAGCGGCGGACGGGUGAGUAAUGCCUAGGAAUCUGCCUGGUAGUGGGGGAUAACGUUCCGAAAGGAACGCUAAUACCGCAUACGUCCUACGGGGGAAAGCAGGGGACCUUCGGGCCUUGCGCUAUCAGAUGAGCCUAGGUCGGAUUAGCUAGUUGGUGAGGUAAUGGCUCACCAAGGCGACGAUCCGUAACUGGUCUGAGAGGAUGAUCAGUCACACUGGAACUGAGACACGGUCCAGACUCCUACGGGAGGCAGCAGUGGGGAAUAUUGGACAAUGGGCGAAAGCCUGAUCCAGCCAUGCCGCGUGUGUGAAGAAGGUCUUCGGAUUGUAAAGCACUUUAAGUUGGGAGGAAGGGCUGCUGGUUAAUACCCUGCAGUUUUGACGUUACCAACAGAAUAAGCACCGGCUAACUUCGUGCCAGCAGCCGCGGUAAUACGAAGGGUGCAAGCGUUAAUCGGAAUUACUGGGCGUAAAGCGCGCGUAGGUGGUUCGUUAAGUUGGAUGUGAAAGCCCCGGGCUCAACCUGGGAACUGCAUCCAAAACUGGCGAGCUAGAGUACGGUAGAGGGUGGUGGAAUUUCCUGUGUAGCGGUGAAAUGCGUAGAUAUAGGAAGGAACACCAGUGGCGAAGGCGACCACCUGGACUGAUACUGACACUGAGGUGCGAAAGCGUGGGGAGCAAACAGG
rnacentral:rRNA from 1 species